UGUGGAUGGUGCUCUGGCUGGCUUCUGGGACUCCACCAGGAUAAGGCCCUGAGAUUGUGUAUGACUUGACUUUGAGUCAGCAAAGAACCACCACAAACAGGUAGAGAGAGUGUGCAGGCAUACGCACUCAGCCAGGGGGCACUCGCGAGAGGUGUUCUGUUAGCUAUACUCAAGUCAUAUGGUACAGAGGCUGAUUAGAGCAAAGAGGACCCCGUACUGGUUUGAAGGACUCCAGG